rnacentral:rRNA from 1 species
AUGGCAUCACCAAUGUCCGUCGGUCGAGGUUCACGACAUUGUAAGAUUGAAGACAGAGUUGUGUGCUAUGCUUUGUACAUUGGAGUGGCCCAUGACUACGUUGGUCAGAUUGUCCUUUGCAUAUACGUACUUCUCAAGCAGAUACGACCCAAUCAAGGGCUCCUCUUUGAUGAAAGGAGAAGGAUGAAGAAGUCAAGCUAUUGGAGAGGUCAAUUGAGGAGCUCGAAAGUACUUUAUUUGCUCUCAAAAGUAGCUUUAUUCAGUUUGAGUGAAUUUUGUGGCCUAACUGUUGUAGCUAUUCAUUUUUCCAUGCAUUCUGAAUGUUAG